rnacentral:lncRNA from 1 species
CUGUGCCUUAGGGAUUUCCUUUAACCAUUGGCUCAGCACAGCAGACAGCAGUUUUCCUGUCUCCUAAAAAACUGACUUCCACUUUAGGAAGGUGCUGCAGUCCUGGGAAGUAGCAAUCUGGCCAGACAACAGGUGAAAUGCUACUAAAAGUGAAAUGAAAGCCUAACUAAUUUAAAAAAAAAAAAAAAAAAAGUUAAAUUUGAGCCAUGGUUUCACCUGUUUCAGUGCAAGUGCUUGUGGUUGCACUUUAAAUAGUCUUACAUCUGACCUCAGCUCUCCUUUUAGAGCAGGAGAGUCUAAUUACAGGGAAGGGAAAGGAGUAAAAUUAGUGUUAGGCUGUUGUGCAGUCAGUUGGCUACUUGUGCUCUGUUACUGUAGGGUGUUACUUGCUGCUUUACAAAUUUGCUGGAAAGAUGUCACGGGUGAGAAUUCCAGCAGAAGACAAAGAGAUAGACGAGGCAAUGCGCUCCUUCGCAGAGAAGGUCUUUGCCUCUGAGGUGAAAGAUGAGGAAACCAGGCAAGAGAUCUCUCCUUUUGACGUGGAAGACAUCUGCCCCAUCUCACGCCA